rnacentral:pre_miRNA from 1 species
AGAUCGACCGUGUUAUAUUCGCUUGGCUGACUUCGAAUAAUACAUGGUUGAUCUUU